rnacentral:lncRNA from 1 species
UUACACCCUCCACAUCUAUAAAUAGAUAACUCAAUGCGACUUAUUAGUUUAUUCAUAAGUUAAGUAAUAAAUCUUUAGGUGAAGAUUGUAGCGAGUGAUAAUGAUGAACAAGGGACACUUUGGAUUUUUCUUCAUUUUACUUCUUCUCCUUACUUGUGGUAAGUCUUAUAUGUUUGUCAUUAAAACAUAUAAUUAAUAUGAAAAUUAUGAUUUAUUUUUUUACUAAAUGGAAAUUCAUUUAAUUAAGUUGUGUUGGAUAAAAAAAAUCGAUCAAUUAAUGCAGAUAUGAUGGAACAAACUGAGGGAUGGGGCUGUGAUCCUGCCGAAUGUGAUUUGAAAUGUAUUGCUGCAGGUUAUCCGCGUGGUGGUCAAUGCAUUAAUAAAAUUAGAUGCGUCUGCAAGAAAUCCAUUGUGGGGGUAAUGAAAGAUCAUAUACAAGGGGAGCAUUUGUAAAUAGUUCCGUUUAUUAUUAGCACAUGAGUGUUCGAGUAGAGAUCCUUUUCAUUUUUCAAAACAAUUUGAUGGUCUUAAUUACUAGUAUAGUUUUAGCUUUGAUCACUAUAUCUUAGCUACUAUGUCUUUGUGUUCUAGUUUUCUGAUUAGUAAGGAGUAUAUACCCCUUAUAAUCAUUUGUGUCUUGUUUCAUUUUAUUUAAUCUAAAAUUUCUUUUAGUUGCUUAUGGGUUUUAGAUUGGCUUUGAGCUAGCUGCGCCAAUUAUUAUGAUACUUUAGUUCUGCAU